rnacentral:lncRNA from 1 species
CAGGAUGCCAAGCUUGAUUUUAUUUCUCAAUUUUCUAUUAACCUUCAACUAUAACUGCCAUGCACAAUAUGUCAUUUGUCCUUCUAUUGAUGAUCUGGCGUGUUUUCAUCCUCAUGUUGGCAAGUAAAUUUGCUUCAUAUUUGAAGGCCUACAUGUCUGAUAUUUUGUGUAUGUACUGAAUCCAGGUUUGCAAUUUUGGUAAUCCCAGCAAAAUUCAGUUCUUUUUUAUGAACGAUUCAGUUUACUGAUUUCAGAUAAAGGCCUUUUAGCUGUUAGAAAUGACACAACAAAAAACUUUGAUCGUAAAGCUCCAAAAGAAAAAAACAAACAGAAAAGAACUUACCGAUAUUUAUCCAUAUGCACACCAAGGUCAGUAC